UACGUAGGAUGCAAGCGUUGUCCGGAAUUAUUGGGCGUAAAGAGCGCGCAGGCGGUAUGACAAGUCAGAUGUGAAAGAGGCCGGCUUAACCGGCAAGGGUCAUUUGAAACUGUCAGACUAGAGUGCAGCAGAGGAUAGUGGAAUUCCCGGUGUAGUGGUGAAAUGCGUAGAUAUCGGGAGGAACACCAGUGGCGAAGGCGACUAUCUGGGCUGCAACUGACGCUGAGGCGCGAAGGCUAGGGUAGCAAGCAGG
rnacentral:rRNA from 1 species